rnacentral:rRNA from 1 species
GACGAACGCUGGCGGCGUGCUUAACACAUGCAAGUCGAACGGAAAGGCCCUGCUUUUGUGGGGUGCUCGAGUGGCGAACGGGUGAGUAACACGUGAGUAACCUGCCCUUGACUUUGGGAUAACUUCAGGAAACUGGGGCUAAUACCGGAUAGGAGCUCCUGCUGCAUGGUGGGGGUUGGAAAGUUUCGGCGGUUGGGGAUGGACUCGCGGCUUAUCAGCUUGUUGGUGGGGUAGUGGCUUACCAAGGCUUUGACGGGUAGCCGGCCUGAGAGGGUGACCGGCCACAUUGGGACUGAGAUACGGCCCAGACUCCUACGGGAGGCAGCAGUGGGGAAUAUUGCACAAUGGGCGGAAGCCUGAUGCAGCAACGCCGCGUGCGGGAUGACGGCCUUCGGGUUGUAAACCGCUUUCGCCUGUGACGAAGCGUGAGUGACGGUAAUGGGUAAAGAAGCACCGGCUAACUACGUGCCAGCAGCCGCGGUGAUACGUAGGGUGCGAGCGUUGUCCGGAUUUAUUGGGCGUAAAGGGCUCGUAGGUGGUUGAUCGCGUCGGAAGUGUAAUCUUGGGGCUUAACCCUGAGCGUGCUUUCGAUACGGGUUGACUUGAGGAAGGUAGGGGAGAAUGGAAUUCCUGGUGGAGCGGUGGAAUGCGCAGAUAUCAGGAGGAACACCAGUGGCGAAGGCGGUUCUCUGGGCCUUUCCUGACGCUGAGGAGCGAAAGCGUGGGGAGCGAACAGGCUUAGAUACCCUGGUAGUCCACGCUGUAAACGGUGGGUACUAGGUGUGGGGUCCAUUCCACGGGUUCCGUGCCGUAGCUAACGCUUUAAGUACCCCGCCUGGGGAGUACGGCCGCAAGGCUAAAGCUCAAAGGAAUUGACGGGGCCCCGCACAAGCGGCGGAGCAUGCGGAUUAAUUCGAUGCAACGCGUAGAACCUUACCUGGGUUUGACAUGGAUCGGGAGCGCUCAGAGAUGGGUGUGCCUCUUUUGGGGUCGGUUCACAGGUGGUGCAUGGCUGUCGUCAGCUCGUGUCGUGAGAUGUUGGGUUAAGUCCCGCAACGAGCGCAACCCUUGUUCACUGUUGCCAGCACGUUAUGGUGGGGACUCAGUGGAGACCGCCGGGGUCAACUCGGAGGAAGGUGGGGAUGACGUCAAGUCAUCAUGCCCCUUAUGUCCAGGGCUUCACGCAUGCUACAAUGGCUGGUACAGAGAGUGGCGAGCCUGUGAGGGUGAGCGAAUCUCGGAAAGCCGGUCUCAGUUCGGAUUGGGGUCUGCAACUCGACCUCAUGAAGUCGGAGUCGCUAGUAAUCGCAGAUCAGCAACGCUGCGGUGAAUACGUUCCCGGG